UACAGAGGUCUCAAGCGUUGUUCGGAUUCAUUGGGCGUAAAGGGUGCGUAGGUGGCGCUGUAAGUCGGGUGUGAAAUUUCGGAGCUUAACUCCGAAACUGCAUUCGAUACUGCGGUGCUUGAGGACUGGAGAGGAGACUGGAAUUCAUGGUGUAGCAGUGAAAUGCGUAGAGAUCAUGAGGAAGGCCAGUGGCGAAGGCGAGUUCCUGGACAGUUACUGACGCUGAGGCACGAAGGCCAGGGGAGCAAACGGG
rnacentral:rRNA from 1 species